CUACGGGUGGCAGCAGUGGGGAAUAUUGCACAAUGGGCGAAAGCCUGAUGCAGCGACGCCGCGUGGAGGAUGAAGGUCUUCGGAUUGUAAACUCCUGUUAAGUGGGAAGAAAAGCUUGCGGUUAAUACCCGUAAGUGUUGACGGUACCACUAGAGAAAGCUCCGGCUAACUUCGUGCCAGCAGCCGCGGUAAUACGAAGGGAGCAAGUGUUAUUCGGAAUUACUGGGCGUAAAGAGCGUGUAGGCGGUCGACUAAGUCAGUUGUUAAAUCUCCCGGCCCAACUGGGAACCAGCAAUUGAUACUGGUCAGCUAGAGGAUAAGAGAGAGAAGUGGAAUUAUCGGAGUAGCGGUAAAAUGCGUAGAUCUCGAUAGGAACACCGAUGGCGAAGGCAGCUUCUUGGCUUAUUUCUGACGCUAAAGCGCGAAAGCGUGGGGAGCAAACAGGAUUAGAUACCCCUGUAGUC
rnacentral:rRNA from 1 species